AUAUGGGCCAGAGACCGAUAGCGCACAAGUAGAGUGAUCGAAAGAUGAAAAGCACUUUGGAAAGAGAGUUAAACAGUACGUGAAAUUGUUGAAAGGGAAGCGCUUGCAACCGGACUUGGGCGCUGUCGAUCACCCCGAGUUCUCUCGAGUGCACUCGACAGCGCACAGGCCAGCAUCGGUUCGGGUGGCUGGAUAAAGGCCGUAGGAACGUGGCUCCCUUCGGGGAGUGUUAUAGCCUACGGUGCCAUGCAGCCCAGCCGGACCGAGGACCGCGCCUUCGGGCUAGGAUGCUGGCGUAAUGGUUGUGAGCGACCCGUCUUGAAACACGGACC
rnacentral:rRNA from 1 species